GUAGGGAAUAUUGGACAAUGGGGGGAACCCUGAUCCAGCCAUGCCGCGUGGAGGAAGACUGCCCUCUGGGUUGUAAACUCCUUUUAUAUGGGAAGAACCGUCCUCAUUAAUGAGUGACCUGACGGUACCAUAGGAAUAAGCACCGGCUAACUCCGUGCCAGCAGCCGCGGUAAUACGGAGGGUGCAAGCGUUAUCCGGAUUCACUGGGUUUAAAGGGUGCGUAGGCGGAUAAAUAAGUCAGUGGUGAAAUCAACGGGCUCAACCUGUUAACUGCCAUUGAUACUGUGUAUCUUGAAUAUGAGAGAGGUAGGCGGAAUGUUGCAUGUAGCGGUGAAAUGCUUAGAUAUGCUACGGAACACCGAUUGCGAAGGCAGCUUACUAUUUCGUAAUUGACGCUGAGGCACGAAAGCAUGGGGAGCAAACAGGAUUAGAUACCCCUGUAGUCC
rnacentral:rRNA from 1 species